UACGUAGGGGGCAAGCGUUAUCCGGAUUUACUGGGUGUAAAGGGAGCGUAGACGGCCAGACAAGUCAGAAGUGGAAGCCCAGGGCUCAACCCUGGGACUGCUUUUGAAACUGCCGGGCUGGAGUGCAGGAGAGGUAAGCGGAAUUCCUAGUGUAGCGGUGAAAUGCGUAGAUAUUAGGAGGAACACCAGUGGCGAAGGCGGCUUACUGGACUGUAACUGACGUUGAGGCUCGAAAGCGUGGGGAGCAAACAGG
rnacentral:rRNA from 1 species